CAGCCGCCGCGGUAACACGUAGGGAGCGAGCGUUGUCCGGAAUUACUGGGCGUAAAGGGCGCGUAGGCGGGAAAUUAAGUCAGGUGUGAAAACUCCGAGCUCAACUUGGAGAUUGCACUUGAAACUGGUAUUCUUGAGGUCAGGAGAGGAAAGUGGAAUUCCUAGUGUAGCGGUGAAAUGCGUAGAUAUUAGGAGGAACACCAGUGGCGAAGGCGACUUUCUGGACUGCACCUGACGCUGAGGCGCGAAAGCGUGGGUAGCGAACGGGAUUAGAUACCCCGGUAGUCCACGCUGUAAACGAUGGGUACUAGGUGUAGGAGGUAUCGACCCCUUCUGUGCCGGAGUUAACGCAAUAAGUACCCCGCCUGGGGAGUACGGCCGCAAGGUUAAAACUCAAAGGAAUUGACGGGGACCCGCACAAGCGGUGGAGCAUGUGGUUUAAUUCGACGCAACGCGAAGAACCUUACCAGGGCUUGACAUCCCUCGCAAGCUGUGGAAACACGGUGUUUUAUCUUUCGGGAUAGACGAGGAGACAGGUGGUGCAUGGCC
rnacentral:rRNA from 1 species